rnacentral:rRNA from 1 species
AGUGAACGCUGGCGGUAGGCCUAACACAUGCAAGUCGAACGGCAGCACAGUAAGAGCUUGCUCUUACGGGUGGCGAGUGGCGGACGGGUGGGGAAUACAUCGGAAUCUACUUUUUCGUGGGGGAUAACGUAGGGAAACUUACGCUAAUACCGCAUACGACCUACGGGUGAAAGCAGGGGAUCUUCGGACCUUGCGCGAUUGAAUGAGCCGAUGUCGGAUUAGCUAGUUGGCGGGGUAAAGGCCCACCAAGGCGACGAUCCGUAGCUGGUCUGAGAGGAUGAUCAGUCACACUGGAACUGAGACACGGUCCAGACUCCUACGGGAGGCAGCAGUGGGGAAUAUUGGACAAUGGGCGCAAGCCUGAUCCAGCCAUACCGCGUGGGUUAAGAAGGCCUUCGGGUUGUAAAGCCCUUUUGUUGGGAAAGAAAAGCAGCAGGUUAAUACCCCGCUGUUCUGACGGUACCCAAAGAAUAAGCACCGGCUAACUUCGUG